CCUACGGGGGGCAGCAGUGGGGAAUAUUGCACAAUGGGGGAAACCCUGAUGCAGCGACGCCGCGUGAGUGAAGAAGUAUUUCGGUAUGUAAAGCUCUAUCAGCAGGGAAGAUAAUGACGGUACCUGAGUAAGAAGCCCCGGCUAACUACGUGCCAGCAGCCGCGGUAAUACGUAGGGGGCAAGCGUUAUCCGGAUUUACUGGGUGUAAAGGGAGCGUAGACGGCAGGACAAGUCUGGAGUGAAAUCCCGGGGCUUAACCCCGGAACUGCUUUGGAAACUGUGCGGCUGGAGUGCAGGAGGGGUAAGCGGAAUUCCGAGUGUAGCGGUGAAAUACGUAGAUAUUAGGAGGAACACCGGUGGCGAAGGCGGCUUACUGGACUGUAACUGACGUUGAGGCUCGAAAGCGUGGGGAGCAAACAGGAUUAGAUACCCCAGUAGUC
rnacentral:rRNA from 1 species